GACGAACGCUGGCGGCGUGCUUAACACAUGCAAGUCGAACGGAAAGGCCCUGCUUUUGUGGGGUGCUCGAGUGGCGAACGGGUGAGUAACACGUGAGUAACCUGCCCUUGACUUUGGGAUAACUUCAGGAAACUGGGGCUAAUACCGGAUAGGAGCUCCUGCUGCAUGGUGGGGGUUGGAAAGUUUCGGCGGUUGGGGAUGGACUCGCGGCUUAUCAGCUUGUUGGUGGGGUAGUGGCUUACCAAGGCUUUGACGGGUAGCCGGCCUGAGAGGGUGACCGGCCACAUUGGGACGGAGAUACGGCCCAGACUCCUACGGGAGGCAGGAGUGGGGAAUAUUGCACAAGGGGCGGAAGCCUGAUGCAGCAACGCCGCGUGCGGGAUGACGGCCUUCGGGUUGUAAAGCGCUUUCGCCUGUGACGAAGAGUGAGUGACGGUAAUGGGUAAAGAAGCACCGGCUAACUACGUG
rnacentral:rRNA from 1 species